AUGAGAACAAUCACACUCUAAACCUUACUGGGCUGCCAUCUGCCCUCGCUGGCCUAAGUCUGCAGCCAGGACCCACGCAAAGCACUUGGCCACCCUGAAGAGCAAGGAGAAGGGAAGCAGAUCCCUACCCUACAGCCAAGAGGAAACCGGACACGUCUGAGAGGCAGGACCUAGGAACAGGGCAGCAGAAGCUGGUUGGCUGAAUGCCUCUGGAAGUGAUCAGUGGUGCGCAUGCGCAGAUGGACCUCCAAAGGUGCACGGAAAUUCUCUGCUGUGGUGGCCAAGAUCAAGAGAUACCCAUUUCUCCAGCCUUCUUCAAGACUAGAUCAGCUCCCUCUGGUCUCUCCCUCCAUGUGGGCCACCGAGGAGAGGACCACAGGCUCUGAUGCAACCAAUGCUCCUCUGGAUUAGGCCAAGAAACUUCCCAAACCAUAAAGAUGUCCAAACAUUGGCCCAGCUUCUCCCAAACAGACAUAAACUGCCUCAAUCACAUCCGGGCCCACCACACCCCCUCCCCUAGGCUUCAGGGACCAUCUGGCAUCUCCACCCUCAGGCAGCCCAUAGCUACAUGGUGGUGGGAAGCAGGACCAG
rnacentral:lncRNA from 1 species